rnacentral:rRNA from 1 species
GAUGAACGCUGGCGGCGUGCCUAAUACAUGCAAGUCGAGCGAACAGACGAGGAGCUUGCUCCUCUGACGUUAGCGGCGGACGGGUGAGUAACACGUGGAUAACCUACCUAUAAGACUGGGAUAACUUCGGGAAACCGGAGCUAAUACCGGAUAACAUGUUGAACCGCAUGGUUCAACAGUGAAAGACGGUCUUGCUGUCACUUAUAGAUGGAUCCGCGCCGCAUUAGCUAGUUGGUAAGGUAACGGCUUACCAAGGCAACGAUGCGUAGCCGACCUGAGAGAGUGAUCGGCCACAUUGGAACUGAGACACGGUCCAGACUCCUGCGGGAGGCAGCAGUAGGGAAUCUUCCGCAAUGGGCGAAAGCCUGACGGAGCAACGCCGCGUGAGUGAAGAAGGUCUUCGGAGCGUAAAACUCUGUUAUUAGUGAAGAACAAAUGUGUAAGUAACUAUGCACGUCGUGACGGUAACUAAUCAGAAAGCCACGGCUAACUACGUG